rnacentral:sRNA from 1 species
CAAUAUUAGGAGUUAUUCCCUGUGGAAUCCUAAUACCCGGGCUAUAUUUCAUUCCAGAAUCUCCUAGAUGGUUGGCCGAAAUGGGCAUGAUAGAAAAGUUUGAAGCCUCCUUAAAAACUUUACGAGGACCCAACGUUGACAUUACUAUGGAAGCACAAGAAAUCCAGGGUUCUCUGGUGUCGAACAACAGAACAGAUACUUUACAGUUUGGAGAUCUCAAGAGGAAAAGAUAUCGGUUUCCUUUAAUGAUUGGUAUUGGACUACUUGUGCUCCAGCAACUUUCUGGUAUCA